UAUAACUGACUUUUGUUGUUCUUGAUGCAUUCUUCUCGUUUUAAAUCGGCCCCUUUUCAGAUUGUGUGUAGCCAUAAACGGCUUUUCUUCUUACAGGGGUAGCGAGCAAAGGACCAGCGUUCAGCGAGGAGCAUGAGCGGCAGUACGCUGAAGUAGGAGCACUGGCUCUUGUAAAAAAUCUGCGGACUAGGGGGCUAGUAAAAGAGGGAGAGGUGCCCAGAGAGCAUACAGCUGUUUCGGUCGAGCGAGAGAGAGUUCUCCGGCGGCUGAAGAGUGGUUCUUGAAUCGGACAGAUGAUGUUCCAUCCUCUUUUCUGCCAAUCACCCAAAGAUGAGGACAACACCCAAACUGGCACGAUAACAGCACUGUAUAAGAAGAGGACCCAAUGGUUCAAAAAGGCCUGGUUUUGCUCUACCGCCGUCCGCCCAGAGUCUGCCGCAGCUAUUUGGACAGCAACAGGUGAAAAGAUGAGAGGAGAUUGCUGAAAUCCAUAUGACCAAGACGACACCUGUCUGUCCAGGAGACGGAUACCUCACCAGAUAUGUUUUCCCUGCCAUGGUUGUGAUAAUUGGAUUUUCUGGGCACCUGUAUGAGUGCAGUAUAUCCAGCGGAUUAUAACCAAGGAAAGGGUGUCUUUCUGACGUUCUUGAUGCACAUCCAAUGAUGAGUGGGUGAUGGAGGUCCCUCUGCUGUAACCCUGACCUGCAGAGCAUAAUGACCGCUCCAAAGACAGGACCUAAGGAAAGAUGAGUCAAAUGAAACACAUCUAGACACCACUGCUUCUGCUGCAAACAUGAUGGCAUGAUCUGUCUCUGUGAAGACAAAAACAAUGUACCUGUUGUGCAAUUCUCAGAUCAUAUGGUUCAUUUUGAAACGAUUAAACUGAAACAGUGAAACUUUUUACCAAUAGAGGUUACGCUGCUCAUGAUAUGAACUGUAUCGUCUGUUGAUGUAUUAUAUUUCAUGAUGUUACAUAUCUUCAAUAAAUUUAUUGGUGUCUUUGGUAGAAA